AUGAAGAUCACAUAAAAAUAUUUGAAAAAAUCAGAAGUAUGGAUUACAAUAUGGGACAACAUCCCUAAUGCGCCUUGAAAUGAGGAACUCAAAAGUCACGUGUAAAGAAAAAAUCUCUGUGUAGUGAUAUUGGACAUGUUUCUAUUUUUAGCAAAUGACUGAACUUAAUUAUUUGUGGUGAUUAGGAAAGUAGAGGAACAUAGAAUAAAUGUGUAAAAACUAUGGAGCUAUUGAAUGUGUUUAAAGUAUUAAAUUUUCAAAGAACUUAUUGUGUUAAAAAGGGGAUAUUUUACCACAAGGAGCCGCAUCACAACAGGAUGUUCGGGGUUUGCUAAUUUACGGAAAAAGUAAUCUCACUUCGUACCCCGAAAAUUUAACCACAUAUGUGAAAAUGUCACAGCUUCGAAACAAGCUAUCAUACAUAUCCAAGUUAACGAUAUGGACUGAGCUACAGGAAAAAACGUUACCAUUACCGCCUAUGUAAAAACAAUUAAAGAUUUUGACCCAAAUUAGAAGCUCAAUUCCAGAGGUUGUCAGACUGAUUUAUGGAUGAUUUCACCUUGUACACCACCCAAAAUGAUGUUCCAGACAUAUCAUUAUUUUUCAACCUGAGAUGGCAAACUAGAGGUUUUAAAAAGUCCUGAAUAACUGAAAUGGACAAAAAUACAAAGAUUUAUUCAGAAUAUUAUACCGAUGAAGAUCACAUAAAAAUAUUUGGAAAAAUCAGAAGUAUGGAUUACAAAUUAGAAGCUCAAUUCCAGAGGUUGUCAGACUGAUUUAUGGAUGAUUUCACCUUGUACACCACCCAAAAUGAUGUUCCAGACAUAUCAUUAUUUUUCAACCUGAGAUGGCAAACUAGAGGUUUUAAAAAGUCCUGAAUAACUGAAAUGGACAAAAAUACAAAGAUUUAUUCAGAAUAUUAUACCGAUGAAGAUCACAUAAAAAUAUUUGGAAAAAUCAGAAGUAUGGAUUACAAUAUGGGACAACAUCCCUAAUGCGCCUUGAAAUGAGGAACUCAAAAGUCACGUGUAAAGAAAAAAUCUCUGUGUAGUGAUAUUGGACAUGUUUCUAUUUUUAGCAAAUGACUGAACUUAAUUAUUUGUGGUGAUUAGGAAAGAAGAGGAACAUAGAAUAAAUGUGUAAAAACUAUGGAGCUAUUGAAUGUGUUUAAAGUAUUAAAUUUUCAAAGAACUUAUUGUGUUAAAAAGGGGAUAUUUUACCACAAGGAGCCGCAUCACAACAGGAUGUUCGGGGUUUGCUAAUUUACGGAAAAAGUAAUCUCACUUCGUACCCCGAAAAUUUAACCACAUAUGUGAAAAUGUCACAGCUUCGAAACAAGCUAUCAAACAUAUCCAAGUUAACGAUAUGGACUGAGCUACAGGAAAAAA